UACGUAGGCACCAAGCGUUGUCCGGAUUUAUUGGGCGUAAAGAGCUCGUAGGCGGUUCGGUAAGUCGGGUGUGAAAACUCUGGGCUCAACCCAGAGCCGCCACCCGAUACUGCUGUGACUCGAGUGCGGUAGGGGAGCGGGGAAUUCCUGAUGUAGCGGUGAAAUGCGCAGAUAUCAGGAGGAACACCAGUGGCGAAGGCGCCGCUCUGGGCCGUGACUGACGCUGAGGAGCGAAAGCGUGGGUAGCAAACAGG
rnacentral:rRNA from 1 species